rnacentral:rRNA from 1 species
UUGAACGCUGGCGGCAGGCCUAACACAUGCAAGUCGCGCGGAUGAAGGGAGCUUGCUCCUGGAUUCAGCGGCGGACGGGUGAGUAAUGCCUAGGAAUCUGCCUGGUAGUGGGGGAUAACGUCCGGAAACGGGCGCUAAUACCGCAUACGUCCUGAGGGAGAAAGUGGGGGAUCUUCGGACCUCACGCUAUCAGAUGAGCCUAGGUCGGAUUAGCUAGUUGGUGGGGUAAAGGCCUACCAAGGCGACGAUCCGUAACUGGUCUGAGAGGAUGAUCAGUCACACUGGAACUGAGACACGGUCCAGACUCCUACGGGAGGCAGCAGUGGGGAAUAUUGGACAAUGGGCGAAAGCCUGAUCCAGCCAUGCCGCGUGUGUGAAGAAGGUCUUCGGAUUGUAAAGCACUUUAAGUUGGGAGGAAGGGCAGUAAGUUAAUACCUUGCUGUUUUGACGGUACCAACAGAAUAAGCACCGGCUAACUUCGUG